rnacentral:lncRNA from 13 species
CAUGAAACUAGCUGCCAUUGGUAGGCGGACGGAACUUUGGGUAAGUGGGCCUUGAUUGACUACUGGGGAAACAAAGAGAAGGCAUUUCUGUUGGCUGUUGAGAAGCAGGAAGUAUAUGGAGUUAAAGUAGGAAGUACAUGAAACUAGCUGCCAUUGGUAGGCGGACGGAACUUUGGGUUGCAGGAGCCAGGUUGGAAUUAUCUUGGGCUGCUUAUUUUGGUUAUUACUGGUAUGGAUGUAUGCAUCUUCUUCAAGACAGAAAAAAAAAAAAGAAACAAAGGUAAUUUCCAGAAUGUUGGUUUAGUGCAACUGAAUGCAAAAUUAUUCCAUCUUUUAGAGACA